rnacentral:lncRNA from 1 species
GGUCCAAAAACUAUAGCCCAGAUCUAUAGGGUUCAUUAUAAUCUUAAAGCAAUAAUAAGAAGUAGCAUAUAAUGGAUUGAAAAGCUUAUUUUAUUAAUAAAUAAUAUUAAAUAAAUGAGUUUGAAAGAUAAAGUACAAAAAAAAUUUCAUCGCAUCCCACAAGCGAUUGGCUUGUAGGGCAUUAUCUUUCAUGCUCUACUAUCAAGGGC